rnacentral:rRNA from 1 species
GUUCGAGAAUUGGAGUAAUGAUUGAUAGGGACGGUUGGGGGCAUCCGUAUUCCCAAGCGAGAGGUGAAAUUCUUGGACCUUGGGAAGACGAACAGAUGCGAAAGCGUUUGCCAAGGACGUUCUCUUUAAUCAAGAACGAAAGUUGGGGGAUCGAAGACGAUCAGAUACCGUCGUAGUCUCAACUAUAAACUAUGCCAGCUAGGGAUCGGCGGGAUCUUGUCACGGAUCCGUCGGCACCUUACGAGAAAUCAAAGCAUUUGGGUUCCGGGGGGAGUAUGGUCGCAAGGCUGAAACUUAAAGGAAUUGACGGAAGGGCACCACCAGGAGUGGAGCCUGUGGCUUAAUUUGACUCAACACGGGAAAACUUACCAGGUCCGGACAUAGUAAGGAUUGACAGAUUGAGAGCUCUUUCU